rnacentral:lncRNA from 1 species
AUAUAAAAUUCAAAUACUAACAUCACAAUUCACAUAGGAAAGGAGCAUAUUUUCACCAUAACUUUUAAAAAUUUGUGUCAAUUUGGAAUACAAUUAAAGUGAACAAUUGUGAAAUUUGAAUGAAAAUAACCAACAUUCCUGACCUAACCUUACCUACUUUCCUAAAAAGUUUGUAAUACCCUUAAUACCAACCUAAAACCCCCAUGCCAGAUGUCUACAACAUACAAACCUUCCAACCAGCCUACUACAGUACCUAACACCUCACAACCUAUUCCAUUCUGAACCUAUUGAUUGGGAUUUUUGUAUACUUUUAUACUCAUUGCAUCCUAGCUUGCUAUUAUAGCAAACAUGCAGGUAUUUAAAGAAAUGUUUUGUUUUUCCUUCUUAGCUGUUGAAAUUUCUUGAAUGCCAACACAACACAACACACCAUGCGCACAUGACAGAGGUCUCCGUCACUGCGGAGGGAAGAUCGCAAUGCUGCUUGCAGGCUGUUGACAGAAAGUGAUCAGUUGUCGUGUUCCGCCAGCUGCUGCGCCGGCGUUGGCAGCGCACAGCCGCUACCAGCUGACACGCCGACCGGUGCGCGUGCGCCGGGCGCCGACGGCCGUCGUCUGGCAGCAACAGCGCUGCCAGUGACUCGCGCUGCUGCUGCAGAAACUGGACAAGGAUCGUAGAAUCCUGGCGUGUUUUUGUAACGUCCAUUAGAGUGAUUUAGACGCAGCGUGUAGAAAGGACUCGUUUAUUGACGUGUGACUUUCUGACAGCUCAGUCACCUGUUGACGGCGGCGCACAGCGUCACCUACCCGCCCUACAGCCGGCCCAGCAGGGUGAGUAGUGAGUACCAAUACCCGCCCUGCAGCCGGCCCCAGCAGGCGGACGGAGAGGCCCGCCCGGGCCCAGUGCCGCACGGAGAGGCGGCGGCGCUGGAGGCCAACACCCCGGCUCGCGGCCUGUAGCUGACGGUGCUGGAGCCGCGAGUCACCGUGGUGGCUGGCCAUGGAGACUUGGAAAAGGCCGGUGAGGUGCGUCUCCAGCUGCGCUGUCAGACGAUCCAGUGGAACGAGCAGCAGCCCAUGUACCCGUCCCGGCUGUGCCGGUGUGUCUCCCAGCUUGAGCGGCGCCGGCCGACCGCUGCGCUGCUCUACAACUGCCACGUCCACACACGAUGCACGGUGACGGCUGACCAGGCGGUGCUGGUCUCGGCCGCGACCGCUCUGGCUGUCCCUGGCCACUCAGCUGGCCAGCAGCUGAGUGGCCCGGCGCCGCCGCCACUGCCCCAGCCGCCGCCGCCGCCGCCGCCAGCGGAGGACCGGGCGGCGGCGUCCUACCUGCAGUGUCACCCAACACCCCCGCUGCGGCGGCCGUCUCCCCAGUGUUCUAAAAUUGGAUUUUGGUUGGGUGUGACGAUGAUGACCAAAAAAUCUAGGAUGAGAAAAAAACAAGUGAAAACCUAUAUCACUUUCGCAAUAAAGGCGUAACGCUACGCUGGCUGAUAAUAAAAGAACAUACCAUUCCUGACCACCAAAACUAACCGAAAAAGACGAUGCAAAUAGGUAAGGAUGAUCUACGGCAGAAUUAUAGCUUUAACAUCUGAUCGCCAAGUGUUUCUAAAUCCGUCCCAUUUUAUCCCAACAUUUGUGUUUGAUUGAGACUAAUGAAUUUAAGAAUCACCCUUGUCUCUUAUACAGCAAAGAAUGAAUACCUACUUCAACCAGUGAGAUUUCAUUUUCCUCACAAGUCAAAAUGCAUUGUCACAAUUGAAUGACAGUCCAGUGGCCAUCCUUCUCCUAGCCUUAAAUCAAUGCCUUCCUUUCCGUUUGAGAUGCAGACAGCAGAUAUUACCGUCAGCAUCUGCUAAGUUCCUACUCAUGCUUACUGGCACGGAUCCAGGACGGUCCUUCUGCCUGUAUAUUUCUCCUAAAGAAGAUCAUCCGCGGACCUCCAUCCUCGCGACGCCAGUCGCCAUCAUGCGAGCGAACUAGGUCUUUAAGAAGCAGAAGAUGCAAUGAUUCUGUUGAAAUCUGUUGUCAUAUCUUAACCCUAUUAGUGGCAGGCUCCUGGCUACCCCUAUUAGUGGCAGGGGGGGGCUGUUUACAACCCCCCCUUGAUAUCUCGAGAUCUAACGGGCCGAUUUUCAAAAUUCAAACGGCAUUCGACUUCGCUCAACGUGAUCUACAUUUCUAAAAAAAAAUUAAGAAAAUGUCAAAAGGGGGGUUGAGGGGGGGUAAAAACGGGCAAAUUGCAGAUACAUUUUAGACUGCUUAUCACGGCCAGGUUUCUGAACCAAUCUUAACGCAACUUUUGCCGAUCGAUAAAGAAUGAACCAGGAAUUCACAUGGAUCCUAAAAAUAUGCAUUUUCAAAAAUCAUAGGCGGAUACAGAUCAUUGAGAUUGGGGGUACACAAAAAGUAUAGCAAAUAAGGUUUUUGUUGGUACUGUUUCUAAAAAGGGUGGUAAUGGUCUUGUUAUGUUACAAUUUUCUUAUGAGAGAACGACUACAAUUGUAUUGGUCAUGCAUAGGCGGUGUCAGGGCACCUAUGUUGGGAGGUAAAACAUAACCCCCCUUUUUGGACGCCUGGAUCCGCCUAUUAUAGCAAAAACGUGUCAAAAGAGGAUGCACAAUAACUUUGUAUAUGUUAUCACAUGAUAAAACUGGUGCAUACAGUUAUAAUACAUCAGCAUCGUGAUCAUCGCCCAAAUGACUCGCUUCACGAAUAGGACCCCCCAAUUCCCAGUGCUCUGGAGCCGCCCUUGGUAAAGUUAUGAACUUGAAAUUUUCAGGGAAUGUGCCCAAUUUAGUUUUAGGAAAAGUCAGAAAAUUUCAGCAUCGUAGCUUCAGCGGUUUCGGAGAUAUUCCCGAAAAACCUGAGGGGUGGAUGAAAACAACCCCCCCCUGCCACUAAUAGGGUUAAGGAGGGUGGGGGAGGGGCGGGUGAGGGAGCUCUCCCUAUAUGCAGGCUUUGGUUCUAGUCACUGGUCAAGGUAGGUAUCUGGUCUGGUGUAGUGUAAUUUGCCAUGUGGAUAAGUUUUCUUUCUUUUUUAAGCAAAGGAAGUGGCAAGGAACCUGUCGUUGCCGUUGCAAAGGGUAUCAUUCGGUCGUCCUGUAUUAUUGAUUUAGUGCAGUUGACUCAGACUGUGUAAUGCGUGAGGCGUGGUCAUCACUGUGACACUGUCAGACAUAAAAUCUUAGGUAAUCAUGAUACCCUGAUGGGCAGUUUGUUGUCGUAACUGAUCGCUAUGAAACCAGAAACCGUAUAACUCAUGUGUUCUGUCCUCUGGGACGUUUUGCGCCUACAAUAUGGCAGCACUGCUUCCAAGAUUACUGUAUAUUUGAGAUAAUAUGCGGCAA